UUGGGAUCGAGCAGGAAGCAGGGAACAAGGGUUUACCCCUUUGUUCUUGUAAAAACUCACCAAUUGACAAGGAAAAAUCAAUGUUAGUUAACUGCAUGUCAUAAAGUUUCGAUCAUCUAAGCAUCCCUAGUAAACCGGCGUAAAGGAAGAGGGCUCAGGUUCUAAGAAGUCGGAAAGCUCACAAGACAAAGGUAAAUCCUCAUCGUAGACUCUAUGGCGAAUUGAAGCGAGCACGUGAUCACCACUUAACAUAUCAAGCGCUUCCGCUAGUUGCUUUAAUGUUUUGGGUCAAUAAUUGUGAAAGUUUGUCUAAA